AGACUGAUGGCGACCGGCGCACGGGUGAGUAACACGUAUCCAACCUACCGGCUAUUCCGGGCUAGCCUUUCGAAAGAAAGAUUAAUACCGGAUAGUAUAGCGAGAAGGCAUCUUCUUGCUAUUAAAGAAUUUCGAUAACCGAUGGGGAUGCGUUCCAUUAGUUUGUUGGCGGGGUAACGGCCCACCAAGACAUCGAUGGAUAGGGGUUCUGAGAGGAAGGUCCCCCACAUUGGAACUGAGACACGGUCCAAACUCCUACGGGAGGCAGCAGUGAGGAAUAUUGGUCAAUGGACGAGAGUCUGAACCAGCCAAGUAGCGUGAAGGAUGACUGCCCUAUGGGUUGUAAACCUCUUUUAUAUGGGAAUAAAGUGAGCCACGUGUGGCUUUUUGUAUGUACCAUACGAAUAAGGAUCGGCUAACUCCGUGCCAGCAGCCGCGGUAAUACGGAGGAUCCGAGCGUUAUCCGGAUUUAUUGGGUUUAAAGGGAGCGUAGGCGGACUAUUAAGUCAGCUGUGAAAGUUUGCGGCUCAACCGUAAAAUUGCAGUUGAUACUGGUCGUCUUGAGUGCAGUAGAGGUAGGCGGAAUUCGUGGUGUAGCGGUGAAAUGCUUAAAUAUCACGAAGAACUCCGA
rnacentral:rRNA from 1 species